rnacentral:rRNA from 1 species
GAGUUUGAUCCUGGCUCAGGACGAAAGCAGGCGGCGUGCCUAACACAUGCAAGUCGAACGGAGAACUCAAAAAGCUUGCUUUGAGAGUUCUUAGUGGCGGACGGGUGAGUAACGCGUGGGCAACCUCCCCCUUAAACCGGGACAACCCUUGGAAACGAGGGCUAAUACCGGAUACACUUUUCUGAGGACAUCCUCGGGAAAGGAAAGGCGGCCUCUGAAGAUGCUGCCGAUAAGGGAUGGACCCGCGUCUGAUUAGCUGGUUGGUGGGGUAAAGGCCUACUAAGGCGACGAUCAGUAGCCGGCCUGAGAGGGUGAACGGCCACACUGGGACUGAGACACGGCCCAGACUCCUACGGGAGGCAGCAGUGGGGAAUCUUCCGCAAUGGACGAAAGUCUGACGGAGCAACGCCGCGUGUAUGACGAAGGCCUUCGGGUUGUAAAGUACUGUCUUUAGGGACGAACGGUAUCUAUGUGAACAAUGUAGGUACAUGACGGUACCUAAGGAGGAAGCCCCGGCUAACUACGUGCCAGCAGCCGCGGUAAUACGUAGGGGGCGAGCGUUGUCCGGGAUCAUUGGGCGUAAAGGGCGCGUAGGCGGAUUUUUAAGUCUGGUGUGAAAACUUGGGGCUCAACCCCAAGCCUGCAUCGGAAACUGGGAAUCUUGAGGACAGGAGAGGAAAGUGGAAUUCCACGUGUAGCGGUGAAAUGCGUAGAGAU